GCAAGUCGUACGAGAAUUUGGUGCUUGCCCCAAAGGACAGUGGCGCACGGGUGAGUAACGCGUGGGAUUUUACCAUGGAGUGGGGGACAACAGUUGGAAACGACUGCUAAUACCGCAUACGCCCUUCGGGGGAAAGAUUUAUUGCUCUAUGAUGAGCCCGCGUUAGAUUAGGUAGUUGGUGAGGUAAUGGCUCACCAAGCCGACGAUCUAUAGCUGGUCUGAGAGGACGAUC
rnacentral:rRNA from 1 species